AGAACCGAGCAUCAGUUGAAAUUGAGCUGCCGAAGACUGCAAAUCCUGGACACAAUGAAGAUUAAAGUCGCAUUCUUUCUGGUAUUCACAACCAUUGCAUUGGCCAGCGGCUUCCGAACGCCAGAUUGUCCGCAUUGGAGCAAAUGCUGGAAGGAUUAUCAAAGCGGCCGCGUUGUCUACUGAUUGCAAUUUGAAUAUUUAAUAAUGUUUAGUACUAGAAAUGUCAACAUCAUCAUCAAAAUGUGUGUACUCAGCAAUCAUAUAGUGAAUAAAUAGUUAUUAAUUGAAAAUGAUAUGAAACGAUCCCAAUGGAAUGCAAAAAACGUGUCAUUUAAAUCGUUUUCCAUUAGGCUUAUGUGCUUAAUUAAGCGUUAAGGCCAUUAGACCGAAUGCCAUCAGAACUCUGCCAAUGGAAUAAAGCUUAAUGCAAAAUAAA